rnacentral:rRNA from 1 species
UACGGAGGGUGCAAGCGUUAUCCGGAUUCACUGGGUUUAAAGGGUGCGUAGGCGGGCAGGUAAGUCCGUGGUGAAAUCUCUGAGCUUAACUCAGAAACUGCCAUGGAUACUAUUUGUCUUGAAUGUUGUGGAGGUAAGCGGAAUAUGUCAUGUAGCGGUGAAAUGCUUAGAUAUGAUGUAGAACACCGAUUGCGAAGGCAGCUCACUAAGCAGACAUUGACGCUGAGGCACGAAAAGCGUGGGGAUCAAACAGG